UGAAUYUUAUCUCUCGCAAGGGAUUGCCUAACGUGUAUUUUUUUUCGUGGUUCACUGCACGAUAUGCCAUGCGACAACUCGUGAUAAGAAUUAACACAGAACCAGCUAUUCAAUGUGAAAUUCGGUAUAACCCAAUCUUGAAAAACCAUAAAAUCAAUUUGUACAAUUCACAUUAGUGACGUAGCGUUCAACAUCUGGGCUGACAAGUGAGGUUCUUAUCAAAUAUUUCUUCUUCUCGACGAAAUCCAGAAAUAACAAUUACUUUAUCAGAGAAGAGUUCUGUGUUCCUUCAGCUUCUACGACGCGCCUGUCAGUUCCUUUGAAAACGACGAUUAAAUCAUCCCGGUCGGCGGAAAUCUCGUAUUUAAAAACAAAUCACUACGAAAUUGUCCUGGUUGCAUAAAAGGGCGCGCGGCGAUGAGUCCAUCCAAGUUACUUCAGAGGGAUAAACGAGACUAACUUGUCCGGCUAGCUGGAAAACAGUUCAAUUCCAAAGUAUUCGCAAUUGCCAAAACUACAUUCAUGGCUAAACACUUGAUCAUUGCARGCUGCAUUCUACUUCUUCUUCUAUUCCAAGUAAAUCGUACAUUAUCAGCUUCAAUAUGCAACAAUAARCACCCCUGUGUUGGUGGGACGACAAUAAAUAAUUUAGGAAGAAAAGUAUACCAAUGUAGAGUGGUGGCAACCGCUUGCAAGAAAAACGGACUAAGRGGAUUCUGUGAAGAAGUAAAAGAUAGAAAUGGUGCCGUCCUAUGUUGCCAAUGCAAAACCAGCUGACCCAUAACAAUUAUUCCCUGGCCUCCUGUGGACUGAAUUCCAGAACAWCGACGUGUUUUCUUACACAACGCAAGUUUAUAACAUUAGCUUAAAACGUGACUUAUAGGUCAGUUAAUUUUGAAAGUAAAGUUUAUAGGUCACGCGACCAAAGUAUCUAGGUCACGCAACUAACAUAAGAUCACGCGAUUCACCCUGUGUGGCUCACAUUGACUAAAAUGAAAAUUUUUGGAUUGCGUGACAUAAAUUACAAAGUCCCGUGACUUAAAGUACAGAUUGCGUGACUAAAAUUAAUAACGUGACUAGAAGUUGUGUGACUCGUUUUGAACUAAUGGACCAUAUUAUUUAAGAGAGAAUGAAGUAUUUAUAGUACAAUAUUAAUGCGCUCUAGCGUGAGAGCUGUGUUCAAUGUAUCUCUCAUCUAUAGGAUCGCUCAGUAUAUAUUUAUAGAGUUUCAUAUUGUAAACCACAGGUAGCCCGUGAAGGCAUUGACUUUUACAAAUAAAGAAAAUAUUAUUAUAUCA